rnacentral:sRNA from 1 species
UCACUGGAUAAGUUGAGGCGCUUCAGGA